AGCAGGGUGGCGCAGUGGAAGCGUGCUGGGCACAUAACCCAGAGCUCAAUGGAUCGAAGCCAUUUCCUGCUA
rnacentral:tRNA from 1 species